AACGAACGCUGGCGGCAGGCUUAACACAUGCAAGUCGAGCGCCCCGCAAGGGGAGCGGCCGACGGGUGAGUAACGCGUGGGAACGUACCUUUUGGUUCGUAACAACUCCGGGAAACUGGAGCUAAUACCGGAUAAGCCCUAACGGGGAAAGAUUUAUCGCCGAAAGAUCGGCCCGCGUCUGAUUAGCUAGUUGGUGAGGUAACGGCUCACCAAGGCGACGAUCAGUAGCUGGUCUGAGAGGAUGAUCAGCCACACUGGGACUGAGACACGGCCCAGACUCCUACGGGAGGCAGCAGUGGGGAAUAUUGGACAAUGGGCGCAAGCCUGAUCCAGCCAUGCCGCGUGAGUGAUGAAGGCCUUAGGGUUGUAAAGCUCUUUUGUCCGGGAAGAUAAUGACUGUACCGGAAGAAUAAGCCCCGGCUAACUUCGUG
rnacentral:rRNA from 1 species